rnacentral:rRNA from 1 species
CCUACGGGAGGCUGCAGUGGGGAAUAUUGGACAAUAGGGGGAACCCUGAUCCAGCCAUGCCGCGUGUGUGAAGAAGGCCCUCGGGUUGUAAAGCACUUUCAGUGAGGAAGAACGCCUGGUGGUUAAUACCCAUCAGGAAAGACAUCACUCACAGAAGAAGCACCGGCUAACUCCGUGCCAGCAGCCGCGGUAAUACGGAGGGUGCGAGCGUUAAUCGGAAUUACUGGGCGUAAAGCGCGCGUAGGUGGCUUGAUAAGCCGGUUGUGAAAGCCCCGGGCUCAACCUGGGAACGGCAUCCGGAACUGUCAAGCUAGAGUGCAGGAGAGGAAGGUAGAAUUCCCGGUGUAGCGGUGAAAUGCGUAGAGAUCGGGAGGAAUACCAGUGGCGAAGGCGGCCUUCUGGACUGACACUGACACUGAGGUGCGAAAGCGUGGGUAGCAAACAGGAUUAGAUACCCGGGUAGUC